rnacentral:lncRNA from 1 species
UUUAUUUUUACAUGAAAAAGCAACACUGAUAUUUCCUUCUGACAUUUAACUCAGUCAAUAAGUGACAAAUCAAAUAAACAUUCCUGUUUCACUGGGACAAAAGCUCCAAGAUCCUGCUGCGACUAAAAUGUUUCAUCAUUUCCGAAGUCAAAUGUUUCAGUUAGGAGAGAGAAAAAAAAAAUAAAAAUGGUGCAUUUCAAUGUUUUUCUAAUUAUUUCCCCCAUUUUGGCUGAAGCUAUUAGACAAAUUUGGCCCCACUUUGCAAAUAGUUUUGGAAGCUUCCAAAACUUCUAUUUUGGUGACUUUUCCCAUCAUUAAUGAAUAAUAGCUUGAUCUCUGCCCUGCUCACCAGCUGAGAUCUUGUUCACCCCCCUGUGCUCAUCCUUCCAGGUUUGCUGCUUGGUCCUGCCCAGGUGGCUGGGGCCAUGUCUAUGCUGCAUGGCCUUGCUGCUACUCACACCAGGACACCACAAGGGGUGUUCCUGCCUUUUCCCAUGCUGGGUGUAAGCUGAAAGGCAUAUGGGUGUGUAUUGGGUGCUCCUGCAUGCACUGGCUGUGACACUUGUGUUCUUCUGUGUCCUUCUCAGGUUUGGAUGAAGCCCUGCAACACAGUGGUGGUGCAGGAUCUUCUCCAGAAGGCCCAGCAGUUCCACCAAUGGCAAACCCAAGUUAAUGCUCCCUGCUGGUCCCUUGUGGUCCCCAGCAUGCAGUGUUUGCUGGAUCCCAGGAGCCAAGUCAGCCUGCUGCAUGGAACGAAGAGAACCCAGGACAAGCUUCUGUCUCUGGACACCUUUUAACCUGUCAGUAGCUGAUGGCCUCAAGAUCUGCACACACUCAAAAAGGUGAGUUUUGACCCCUGCCCAAUGCUUGGUCCAGCAAAUCCAUGCUUGUUUUUGCAGGCGACGAGGAGCAAGCAUGCCAGCAAUGUUCCCAGUGGUCUGUACAAACACGGGAAUUGAUGGGCUAGAGCUGACUGGCUGUUAAUUCAUGAGCAGG